GCCGCGGUAUACGUAGGUGGCAAGCGUGUCCCGGAUGGUUGGGUGUAAAGCGCGCGCUGGCGGUAUCUUAAGUGUGAUGAGAAAGCCGCUGGGUCAACCGGGGAGUGUCAUUGGAAAGUGGGGAACCUGAGUGCAGAAGAGGAGAGUGGAAUUCCACGUGUAGCGGUGAAAUGCGUAGAGAUGUGGAGGAACACCAGUGGCGAAGGCGAGUUUCGUGGUAUGUAACUGACGCUGAGGCGUGAGAGCGUGGGGAGCGAACAGGAUUAGAUACCGUGGUAGUCCACGUCCGUAAACGAUGAGUGAUAAGUGUUAGAGGGUCUCCGUCCUCUGAGUGGUGCAGCGGCAGUCAUCUAAGCAAUUGCGCAAGGGGAGUGCGGUCGCAAGA
rnacentral:rRNA from 1 species